ACUUAAAUUGAAGAGUUUGAUCAUGGCUCAGAUUGAACGCUGGCGGCAGGCCUAACACAUGCAAGUCGAGCGGUAACACAGAGAGCUUGCUCUCGGGUGACGAGCGGCGGACGGGUGAGUAAUGUCUGGGAAACUGCCUGAUGGAGGGGGAUAACUACUGGAAACGGUAGCUAAUACCGCAUAACGUCGCAAGACCAAAGUGGGGGACCUUCGGGCCUCAUGCCAUCAGAUGUGCCCAGAUGGGAUUAGCUAGUAGGUGGGGUAAUGGCUCACCUAGGCGACGAUCCCUAGCUGGUCUGAGAGGAUGACCAGCCACACUGGAACUGAGACACGGUCCAGACUCCUACGGGAGGCAGCAGUGGGGAAUAUUGCACAAUGGGCGCAAGCCUGAUGCAGCCAUGCCCGCGUGUAUGAAGAAGGCCUUCGGGUUGUAAAGUACUUUCAGCGAGGAGGAAGGCGUUAAGGUUAAUAACCUUAGCGAUUGACGUUACUCGCAGAAGAAGCACCGGCUAACUCCGUGCCAGCAGCCGCGGUAAUACGGAGGGUGCAAGCGUUAAUCGGAAUUACUGGGCGUAAAGCGCACGCAGGCGGUCUGUCAAGUCGGAUGUGAAAUCCCCGGGCUCAACCUGGGAACUGCAUUCGAAACUGGCAGGCUAGAGUCUUGUAGAGGGGGGUAGAAUUCCAGGUGUAGCGGUGAAAUGCGUAGAGAUCUGGAGGAAUACCGGUGGCGAAGGCGGCCCCCUGGACAAAGACUGACGCUCAGGUGCGAAAGCGUGGGGAGCAAACAGGAUUAGAUACCCUGGUAGUCCACGCCGUAAACGAUGUCGACUUGGAGGUUGUGCCCUUGAGGCGUGGCUUCCGGAGCUAACGCGUUAAGUCGACCGCCUGGGGAGUACGGCCGCAAGGUUAAAACUCAAAUGAAUUGACGGGGGCCCGCACAAGCGGUGGAGCAUGUGGUUUAAUUCGAUGCAACGCGAAGAACCUUACCUACUCUUGACAUCCAGAGAACUUAGCAGAGAUGCUUUGGUGCCUUCGGGAACUCUGAGACAGGUGCUGCAUGGCUGUCGUCAGCUCGUGUUGUGAAAUGUUGGGUUAAGUCCCGCAACGAGCGCAACCCUUAUCCUUUGUUGCCAGCGGUCCGGCCGGGAACUCAAAGGAGACUGCCAGUGAUAAACUGGAGGAAGGUGGGGAUGACGUCAAGUCAUCAUGGCCCUUACGAGUAGGGCUACACACGUGCUACAAUGGCAUAUACAAAGAGAAGCGACCUCGCGAGAGCAAGCGGACCUCAUAAAGUAUGUCGUAGUCCGGAUUGGAGUCUGCAACUCGACUCCAUGAAGUCGGAAUCGCUAGUAAUCGUAGAUCAGAAUGCUACGGUGAAUACGUUCCCGGGCCUUGUACACACCGCCCGUCACACCAUGGGAGUGGGUUGCAAAAGAAGUAGGUAGCUUAACCUUCGGGAGGGCGCUUACCACUUUGUGAUUCAUGACUGGGGUGAAGUCGUAACAAGGUAACCGUAGGGGAACCUGCGGUUGGAUCACCUCCUUACCUUAAAGAA
rnacentral:rRNA from 1 species